AUUGAACGCUGGCGGCAUGCCUAACACAUGCAAGUCGAGCGGAUGAAGGGAGCUUGCUCCUGGAUUCAGCGGCGGACGGGUGAGUAAUGCCUAGGAAUCUGCCUGGUAGUGGGGGAUAACGUCCGGAAACGGGCGCUAACACCGCAUACGUCAUGAGGUAGAAAGUGGGGGAUCUUCGGACCUCACGCUAUCAGAUGAGCCUAGGUCGGAUUAGCUAGUUGGUGGGGUAAAGGCCUACCAAGGCGACGAUCCGUAACUGGUCUGAGAGGAUGAUCAGUCACACUGGAACUGAGACACGGUCCAGACUCCUACGGGAGGCAGCAGUGGGGAAUAUUGGACAAUGGGCGAAAGCCUGAUCCAGCCAUGCCGCGUGUGUGAAGAAGGUCUUCGGAUUGUAAAGCACUUUAAGUUGGGAGGAAGGGCAGUAAGUUAAUACCUUGCUGUUUUGACGUUACCAACAGAAUAAGCACCGGCUAACUUCGUG
rnacentral:rRNA from 1 species